CCAAUAGCGUAUAUUAAAGUUGUUGCAGUUAAAAAGCUCGUAGUUGAAUUUCGGGAUCAAUAUUUCGGUCAUGCCGUUGGUAUGCACUGUUAUCAUUGAUUUCUCACCUUCUAAAGAACCGUAAUGCCAUUAAUUUGGUGUUACGGGGAAUUAGGACUGUUACCAUGAAAAAAUUAGAGUGUUUAAAGCAGGCUCACGCUUGAAUACAUUAGCAUGGAAUAAUGAAAUAGGACAUCCGAUUCUAUUUUGUUGGUUUCUAGGAUCGAAGUAAUGAUUAAUAGGGAUAGUUUGGGGCAUUAGUAUUCAAUUGUCAGAGGUGAAAUUCUUGGAGUUAUUGAAGACUAACUACUGCGAAAGCAUUUGCCAAGGAUGUUUUCAUUAAUCAAGAACGAAAGUUAGGGGAUCGAAGACGAUCAGAUACCGUCGUAGUCUUAACCAUAAACUAUGCCGACUAGGGAUCGGAUGAUGUUAAUUUUUUAAUGACUCAUUCGGCGCCUUACG
rnacentral:misc_RNA from 1 species